UUUUAAUGUACUUUGCUUUUGGUUGGUAACAUCUUACUCUUUUUUCUCACGGGUUCUAUAGGUGUUUGCAUGACAUCUUCGCUAUUUGGUAAAUAUGAAGAUGGGGACAUCGUGAAUAAGUUACAAGAGAUGUAUGAGGUACUCAAAAAUUCGAGGGAGGAGCCUUUCACGAUUGAAGAGAUAAAUGAAGUUCGAGAAAAGUUGGCAAACUUCAUUUCUAGUGAUUGUCUUUGAUAUUUUCUUGUAGUGAAUUUUAGUAUUGUUUUUGAUAUUUCCUUGUAAUGAAUUUUAGGUUACGGAUGCUAGUUUUUUAUGACUGUUAUGUAAUCGAGUUUUCAACUGUACAAUUUAAUUAUCUAUAUAAUUGGGUACUUUUUUAUAUGA